AUUGAACGCUGGCGGCAGGCCUAACACAUGCAAGUCGAACGAGUGGCGGACGGGUGAGUAAUGUCUGGGAAUCUGCCUGAUAGAGGGGGAUAACUACUGGAAACGGUGUCUAAUACCGCAUACUAUCAGAUGUGCCCAGAUGGUAUUAGCUUGUUGGUGGGGUAACGGCUCACCAAGGCGACGAUCCCUAGCUGGUCUGAGAGGAUGACCAGCCACACUGGAACUGAGACACGGUCCAGACUCCUACGGGAGGCAGCAGUGGGGAAUAUUGCACAAUGGGAGCAAGCCUGAUGCAGCCAUGCGGCGUGUAUGAAGAAGGCCUUAGGGUUGUAAAGUACUUUCAGCGGGGAGGCGUUACCCGCAGAAGAAGCACCGGCUAACUCCGUGCCAGCAGCCGCGGUAAUAC
rnacentral:rRNA from 1 species